rnacentral:tRNA from 1 species
GCCGAAAUAGCUCAGUUGAGAGAGCGUUAGACUGAAGAUCUAAAGGUCCCUGGUUCGAUUCCGGGUUUCGGCA